CGGUAAUACGGAGGGUGCGAGCGUUAAUCGGAAUUACUGGGCGUAAAGCGCAUGCAGGUGGUUUGUUAAGUCAGAUGUGAAAGCCCCGGGGCUCAACCUCGGAAUUGCAUUUGAAACUGGCAAACUAGAGUACUGUAGAGGGGGUAGAAUUUCAGGUGUAGCGGUGAAAUGCGUAGAGAUCUGAAGGAAUACCGGUGGCGAAGGCGGCCCCCUGGACAGAUACUGACACUCAGAUGCGAAAGCGUGGGGAGCAAACAGGAUUAGAUACCCUGGUAG
rnacentral:rRNA from 1 species